rnacentral:lncRNA from 1 species
GGGGGAGACGGGGGAUCUGAGCCUCCUAGGGAUACAAACGUCCAGCUAAGAAUUUCUUCAGGAUCAUAACGUGGCUCAGUAAUAUGAUAUUAAAAUGACACAAAAUGCUAUUUUCCCCCACAACACUAGAAAUGUGAUAUAUACGAUUGGUGAGCUUUCUACUAACUCUACAAUAAUAUGGGCCUAAUAAUAUUGGAGUCCUAUUCCAUCCUUGAUACAUUUAUCUGUUCAGUCAAAGUUCUCCUUGCAGAUUACCCCAAUAUGUGCUGGUUUUGUUCAGCUUUGUAUGAUUCUGCUCAAUACGUACCACCUAUCCAAUUGCAUCUAUUACUUGGCCCCUCAGUUUUAGGUCAAAAUAUUUGGGGGGGGGGGGGGGGGGGGGGCAAGCAAAUGACUAUCUUAAGAAAACAGCUGCCCAAAUUUGUAACGACGCCAUUUUCGCCAGGUUAUGCUGAACGGUGAACACAACAAACUGAAAUUCUUUUUUUCUGUUUUUGAACCAACUUUACCGGAAUUCCUAUUCCAGUUGGAGAACAUCUUCAUCGGGAAUCACACAAGAUGAUUGCACUAACGUGCAGAGUGUCUGACGUAGAGAGAUGAGCCAAAGGCAAUACAGGCACGAAUAAAGGUGCACGUACGUGAAGGCCGUCUUCAAUAUUGAUCAUGACACAUGUGGUCAGAACAAAUGUUUGUCAUGAUAUACGUAUUAGCAAGGGUAAAUCUGACCCAAAUCUUGAAGUCAAAUGCAAGCUCUGUAGUACAUAUCAAGUUGAAAUAAUCUACUAAUAUAUGAUAAGUAUUCCCUUGGCACAGCACCAUGACAAGAAAACCGUAGACUGUGUUACAUGGUUUCACAUGCGAGAGCAAUAAUGCAGGCCUAAUCUUGGCAUCCUAUUCCGUGUGCAUCUUUUGAAAAACGUAUAUAUAAACACAUCAUAUCUAUGAUUUUUUUUCUCUCUUUGCGGAUUCCCCACAUUGUAAGGCUCCC